AUCCUUUCAUAAGCUUGAAAAUUGGGUUUUCACACUAAUGUGUGAGAUGUCCCUCUCAAACCUUGCUAUGAAGUCAGCACCAUUGUUUACAUUACUUGUCUGACA
ensembl:snoRNA